AAAAGUAGGAAAUACAUAAAAUUGUAGGUACUUUCAAGAAAUAUAGUUAACUGUAAGUGCUGUAUUUUAAUAAUCUAUCAAAAAUCAAAAUCAUCAGGAUAAUAUUAGGUAUUGAUUUUCAGACAAGAAUUAGAUUACAGUGAUGGUCAAAAACAUUUAGAUAUUGCUUUGAAAUCUACAGAUAAGGUAUGGCAGUUUCAUUUUAAAGAACAGGAUGUUAAAGUUUGUGAUAAAAUUGUCAUCAGAAAUACUGUCCACUUCAGUAUUUACAUAGGAAAAUAUUGGAGGAUGAAGCUCUACCUAGUGCCUCAGAGCAACAACACAAUAAAAAACCAAAAUAUGAACACCAGCAACUAAAACAGGAACCAUUAAAUGAAUAUUACACACAGCAAUAACAGCAUCAAAUAAUGGAAAUAAUGGACCCUACUGCUCAAAUCAAAAACAAAAUUUCAUCAUUACCACUUUAUUGGUUAUAUCAAUAAAAGAAAUUAUUGAGUUUAUGAGUCUAGAUCCUACAAGCAAGCAGAUCUAUCACAUAAUUUAAAAUGAAGAUUUAUCUAUUAUAGUAAUUUAUUCUAAUAAU